AGGACGAACGCUGGCGGCGUGCCUAACACAUGCAAGUCGAACGAGGUCCAUCCGGUAGCAAUACUGGUGAAGAUCAAGUGGCGAACGGGUGAGUAGCACGUGAGCAACCUGCCCCGAAGACCGGGACAACACCGGGAAACCGGUGCUAAUACCGGAUAUCCCCACCGAGUCGCAUGACUUGGUGAGGAAAUGGAUUCCGCUUUGGGAGGGGCUCGCGGCCUAUCAGCUUGUUGGUGAGGUAACGGCUCACCAAGGCUUCGACGGGUAGCUGGUCUGAGAGGACGAUCAGCCACACUGGGACUGAGACACGGCCCAGACUCCUACGGGAGGCAGCAGUGGGGAAUCUUGCACAAUGGGCGAAAGCCUGAUGCAGCAACGCCGCGUGAGGGACGAAGGCUUUCUGAGUUGUAAACCUCUUUCAGCAGGGACGAUUGUGACGGUACCUGCAGAAGAAGCCCGGCAACUACGCGCCAGCAGCCGCGGUAAU
rnacentral:rRNA from 1 species